UACGGAGGGUGCAAGCGUUAUCCGGAUUCACUGGGUUUAAAGGGUGCGUAGGAGGGCAGGUAAGUCAGUGGUGAAAUCUCCAAGCUUAACUUGGAACUGCCGUUGAUACUAUCUGUCUUGAAUACCGUGGAGGUGAGCGGAAUAUGUCAUGUAGCGGUGAAAUGCUUAGAUAUGAACAUAGAACACCAAUUGCGAAGGCAGCUCGCUACACGAAUAUUGACUCUGAGGCACGAAAGCGUGGGGAUCAAACAGGA
rnacentral:rRNA from 1 species